GAGCGUUCUGUAAGCCUGUGAAGGUGUGCUGUGAGGCAUGCUGGAGGUAUCAGAAGUGCGAAUGCUGACAUAAGUAACGAUAAAGCGGGUGAAAAGCCCGCUCGCCGGAAGACCAAGGGUUCCUGUCCAACGUUAAUCGGGGCAGGGUGAGUCGACCCCUAAGGCGAGGCCGAAAGGCGUAGUCGAUGGGAAACAGGUUAAUAUUCCUGUACUUGGUGUUACUGCGAAGGGGGGACGGAGAAGGCUAUGUUGGCCGGGCGACGGUUGUCCCGGUUUAAGCGUGUAGGCUGGUUUUCCAGGCAAAUCCGGAAAAUCAAGGCUGAGGCGUGAUGACGAGGCACUACGGUGCUGAAGCAACAAAUGCCCUGCUUCCAGGAAAAGCCUCUAAGCAUCAGGUAACAUCAAAUCGUACCCCAAACCGACACAGGUGGUCAGGUAGAGAAUACCAAGGCGCUUGAGAGAACUCGGGUGAAGGAACUAGGCAAAAUGGUGCCGUAACUUCGGGAGAAGGCACGCUGAUAUGUAGGUGAAGUCCCUCGCGGAUGGAGCUGAAAUCAGUCGAAGAUACCAGCUGGCUGCAACUGUUUAUUAAAAACACAGCACUGUGCAAACACGAAAGUGGACGUAUACGGUGUGACGCCUGCCCGGUGCCGGAAGGUUAAUUGAUGGGGUCAGCGCAAGCGAAGCUCUUGAUCGAAGCCCCGGUAAACGGCGGCCGUAACUAUAACGGUCCUAAGGUAGCGAAAUUCCUUGUCGGGUAAGUUCCGACCUGCACGAAUGGCGUAAUGAUGGCCAGGCUGUCUCCACCCGAGACUCAGUGAAAUUGAACUCGCUGUGAAGAUGCAGUGUACCCGCGGCAAGACGGAAAGACCCCGUGAACCUUUACUAUAGCUUGACACUGAACAUUGAGCCUUGAUGUGUAGGAUAGGUGGGAGGCUUUGAAGUGUGGACGCCAGUCUGCAUGGAGCCGACCUUGAAAUACCACCCUUUAAUGUUUGAUGUUCUAACGUGGACCCGUGAUCCGGGUUGCGGACAGUGUCUGGUGGGUAGUUUGACUGGGGCGGUCUCCUCCUAAAGAGUAACGGAGGAGCACGAAGGUUGGCUAAUCCUGGUCGGACAUCAGGAGGUUAGUGCAAUGGCAUAAGCCAGCUUGACUGCGAGCGUGACGGCGCGAGCAGGUGCGAAAGCAGGUCAUAGUGAUCCGGUGGUUCUGAAUGGAAGGGCCAUCGCUCAACGGAUAAAAGGUACUCCGGGGAUAACAGGCUGAUACCGCCCAAGAGUUCAUAUCGACGGCGGUGUUUGGCACCUCGAUGUCGGCUCAUCACAUCCUGGGGCUGAAGUAGGUCCCAAGGGUAUGGCUGUUCGCCAUUUAAAGUGGUACGCGAGCUGGGUUUAGAACGUCGUGAGACAGUUCGGUCCCUAUCUGCCGUGGGCGCUGGAGAACUGAGGGGGGCUGCUCCUAGUACGAGAGGACCGGAGUGGACGCAUCACUGGUGUUCGGGUUGUCAUGCCAAUGGCACUGCCCGGUAGCUAAAUGCGGAAGAGAUAAGUGCUGAAAGCAUCUAAGCACGAAACUUGCCCCGAGAUGAGUUCUCCCUGACCCUUUAAGGGUCCUGAAGGAACGUUGAAGACGACGACGUUGAUAGGCCGGGUGUGUAAGCGCAGCGAUGCGUUGAGCUAACCGGUACUAAUGAACCGUGAGGCUUAACCUU
rnacentral:rRNA from 1 species